UUAUUUGAAUUAUCAUUAAAAGAUUGAGAAAAAUAUGAAUAUGAAAAUUGAGUUUGACAUAUAUUCAUACUCAUAUGCAUUUUUGGGAUGCAGUUUGAUUAAAGGAUUGAAUUGCAUGGUAACUUGCCACUGAAGGAUAUUUUUGGUAUUUCCACCAAAUUCCAUAUUUUCCGGGUAGACAUGACACGUUGCUAGACGUCAAUCUUGUUUUAUAGGUUUGAUCAAAUUAAAGAGUUAAUUCGAUCACCAAUUAGAAAGGAUUCUAAUUGUUAAGUUCGGGUUCGCGCAGUUUGGACUUAAAUCGAUUAGAAGAGUUCUAAUCAAGUUGGGUCAACUCGCACUCACACUUAUUGCUGGCUAAGUAUGGAACCCAAUGGGUCACACACAAGAAAACUUAUCAAGGGUCUAAUUGGAUUAGAUCAUGUUUGCAAGAUAAACAUCCUAGCAGG
rnacentral:lncRNA from 1 species